UACGGAGGGGGGCUAGCGUUGUUCGGAAUUACUGGGCGUAAAGCGCGCGUAGGCGGCUUUGUAAGUUAGAGGUGAAAGCCCGGAGCUCAACUCCGGAAUUGCCUUUAAGACUGCAUCGCUAGAAUCAUGGAGAGGUGAGUGGAAUUCCGAGUGUAGAGGUGAAAUUCGUAGAUAUUCGGAAGAACACCAGUGGCGAAGGCGACUCACUGGACAUGUAUUGACGCUGAGGUGCGAAAGCGUGGGGGAGCAAACAGG
rnacentral:rRNA from 1 species